rnacentral:rRNA from 1 species
UACGGGGGGGGCAAGCGUUGUUCGGAAUUACUGGGCGUAAAGGGCUCGUAGGUGGCCAACUAAGUCAGACGUGAAAUCCCCAGGCUCAACUUGGGAACUGCGUCUGAUACUGGUUGGCUUGAGUUCGGGAGAGGAGAGUGGAAUUCCCAGUGUAGAGGUGAAAUUCGUAGAUAUUGGGAAGAACACCGGUGGCGAAGGCGGCUCUCUGGACCGAGACUGACGCUGAGGCGCGAAAGCGUGGGGAGCAAACAGG